AUGCACUUGUCGUGUUUGUUUAGAGGAAAUGAUUCUGUUUUUGCUUUCUCUUAAAUACAACAGUGCUUACAUAGAAUGCCUGGUUUACACCUCUGUGAAUUAGGCAGCGGCCAGACAACCGUAGGGAUGGGUAUCCACAGACGGCGGUGUAUUUUUCCGUUCUGUCUACUGAUUCCAUCUCACAUUU